UACUCCAUAUCAGGAUGGAGGUAAAUCUGUUCUGCCUUCUCUGUGUCCAGGUUCCUGCACUGAGGUACGGGAGGAGGGCAGCUCUGCUUUUCUCCAUCAGUGCUGCUGUCAGGACAGGACAUCUCCUCUACCUCUACAGUUAAUAGAUCUGUCUUCAUGAUGCAGCCUUCUGCAACCUUGUCACACAGACCACGAAGGGAGGAAUGGGGGAAGGCAAUACAGACAGAAGUACGUCCAUCAGAGAGGUGUUUAGGUUUUAUAAAUAGGUCUAUAAAUAAUACAUUUCUAUUUCUGCUGGUUUUAUAGCUAUUGAUAUGCAAUAGAGUCCUCUGGGCUUAAAUCUGCAGAUAUUUUUAUUACUUGAGGUCACUGCUGCUGUGCUGUACGAACAGCACACUGCCUUCACCUCUGUGUCUGUUGAUUUCUUUAUGCUUCAGUGGGUGUUUUGAAAAGGCGAAGCAUUGGGUGUUAUCCAUCUCUUCUACCUGUCCUUAGAUUUUGCUAAGUGCAUACUUUUAUGGAUCAGUUGAACAGCCCCAAUCACACUGUAAUUUAAGAUUUUAUGCCUGAAUGCUGGACGUCGUCCUAAUAAGUGCAGCAUUGUGUGUGAGGAAGUGUAGAAAAAAAUAACUCUUUGUUUCUCUGAUGGGCUCCUGCGACUGUUUCACUAUACUGUCUGCACCUUUUCUAUCUGCAUAAGGCUUGUUUUGGAAUGAGGAAAGCUGCAACCGCUGAAGAAGAUGCAGUCGAUGCAAUUAAAAUAUCCCUGUGGAUUGCUGUUAAAGAGAUAUCAUCUCCCUUUUUCCCAUUAUACACAGAGUGGUAGGCGGUCAGCUGUUGGCUUUUACUCCCUUCCAGCUUACAAUAUUGGAUAUCACCAGCCUAUUCCCUUUUCAAUAAUUCCCUCUUCAAAGACUAUUGUAAUUGUAUUGUUGUGCAGGUCAAGUCACCAGCUGGGACUGCAGAACCUUCCCUGCCACUGUGCAGCUAUCCAGCACAAACUUACAGCCCCUAUCCAGAUAUCUGUGAAGACAUCUGAAAAUACAGUGCUUGAACAUCUAUGCUGCAGUAAAAUCCAGCUCUUCCUGAGCAUCUGUGCCUGGAUGGAAACCCGAUAGGAGUUGUCAUAGCAUGGACUGUGAUGAGCUGACACUGCACUGCCAUUUGCAAGCGGUGCCCAACGAAACAAAAAGCUCUUCCCUUGUCCCCUGUCAUCACCUCUGUCACAUCAAACUGCUGAGACCAACCCUUGUCUCUCUCUCUGAAAUAUAUUAACCUUGUCUC
ensembl:lncRNA